CAGUAGCCGCGGUAAUACAGAGGGUGCGAGCGUUAAUCGGAUUUACUGGGCGUAAAGCGUGCGUAGGCGGCUAAUUGAGUCGGAUGUGAAAUCCCCGAGCUUAACUUGGGAAUUGCAUUCGAUACUGGUUAGCUAGAGUGUGGGAGAGGAUGGUAGAAUUCCAGGUGUAGCGGUAAAAUGCGUAGAGAUCUGGAGGAAUACCGAUGGCGAAGGCAGCCAUCUGGCCUAACACUGACGCUGAGGUACGAAAGCAUGGGGAGCAAACAGGAUUAGAUACCCGCGUAGUCCCUGUCUCUUAUAC
rnacentral:rRNA from 1 species